rnacentral:rRNA from 1 species
UACGAAGGGGGCUAGCGUUGUUCGGAAUCACUGGGCGUAAAGGGCGCGUAGGCGGCUUGCUAAGUCGGGGGUGAAAGCCUGUGGCUCAACCACAGAAUUGCCUUCGAUACUGUCUGGCUUGAGACCGGAAGAGGUAAGUGGAACUGCGAGUGUAGAGGUGAAAUUCGUAGAUAUUCGCAAGAACACCAGUGGCGAAGGCGGCUUACUGGUCCGGUUCUGACGCUGAGGCGCGAAAGCUUGGGGAGCAAACAGG